CUGGCCACUGCCCCAACCCAGGCAUUUCACUGGGCGCAGUGCGGACAGGCUUCCGCUUUGGUCAUGGGGACAAGGUCCGCUAUCGCUGCUCCUCGAAUCUUGUGCUCACGGGGUCUUCGGAGCGGGAGUGCCAGGGCAACGGGGUCUGGAGUGGAACGGAGCCCAUCUGCCGCCAACCCUACUCUUAUGACUUCCCUGAGGACGUGGCCCCUGCCCUGGGCACUUCCUUCUCCCACAUGCUUGGGGCCACCAAUCCCACCCAGAAGACAAAGGAUCUUCAGCUUUGAGAUCAAUGUGAGCGUUGCCAUUAUCACCUUUGCCUCAGAGCCCAAAGUCCUCAUGUCUGUCCUGAACGACAACUCCCGGGAUAUGACUGAGGUGAUCAGCAGCCUGGAAAAUGCCAACUAUAAAGAUCAUGAAAAUGGAACUGGGACUAACACCUAUGCGGCCUUAAACAGUGUCUAUCUCAUGAUGAACAACCAAAUGCGACUCCUCGGCAUGGAAACGAUGGCCUGGCAGGAAAUCCGACAUGCCAUCAUCCUUCUGACAGAUGGAAAGUCCAAUAUGGGUGGCUCUCCCAAGACAGCUGUUGACCAUAUCAGAGAGAUCCUGAACAUCAACCAGAAGAGGAAUGACUAUCUGGACAUCUAUGCCAUCGGGGUGGGCAAGCUGGAUGUGGACUGGAGAGAACUGAAUGAGCUAGGGUCCAAGAAGGAUGGUGAGAGGCAUGCCUUCAUUCUGCAGGACACAAAGGCUCUGCACCAGGUCUUUGAACAUAUGCUGGAUGUCUCCAAGCUCACAGACACCAUCUGCGGGGUGGGGAACAUGUCAGCAAACGCCUCUGACCAGGAGAGGACACCCUGGCAUGUCACUAUUAAGCCCAAGAGCCAAGAGACCUGCCGGGGGGCCCUCAUCUCCGACCAAUGGGUCCUGACAGCAGCUCAUUGCUUCCGCGAUGGCAACGACCACUCCCUGUGGAGGGUCAAUGUGGGAGACCCCAAAUCCCAGUGGGGCAAAGAAUUCCUUAUUGAGAAGGCGGUGAUCUCCCCAGGGUUUGAUGUCUUUGCCAAAAAGAACCAGGGAAUCCUGGAGUUCUAUGGUGAUGACAUAGCUCUGCUGAAGCUGGCCCAGAAAGUAAAGAUGUCCACCCAUGCCAGGCCCAUCUGCCUUCCCUGCACGAUGGAGGCCAAUCUGGCUCUGCGGAGACCUCAAGGCAGCACCUGUAGGGACCAUGAGAAUGAACUGCUGAACAAACAGAGUGUUCCUGCUCAUUUUGUCGCCUUGAAUGGGAGCAAACUGAACAUUAACCUUAAGAUGGGAGUGGAGUGGACAAGCUGUGCCGAGGUUGUCUCCCAAGAAAAAACCAUGUUCCCCAACUUGACAGAUGUCAGGGAGGUGGUGACAGACCAGUUCCUAUGCAGUGGGACCCAGGAGGAUGAGAGUCCCUGCAAGGGCAGGAGAAUCUGGGGGAGCAGUUUUCCUUGAGCGGAGAUUCAGGUUUUUUCAGGUGGGUCUGGUGAGCUGGGGUCUUUACAACCCCUGCCUUGGCUCUGCUGACAAAAACUCCCGCAAAAGGGCCCCUCGUAGCAAGGUCCCGCCGCCACGAGACUUUCACAUCAAUCUCUUCCGCAUGCAGCCCUGGCUGAGGCAGCACCUGGGGGAUGUCCUGAAUUUUUUACCCCUCUAGCCAUGGCCACUGAGCCCUCUGCUGCCCUGCCAGAAUCUGCCGCCCCUCCAUCUUCUACCUCUGAAUGGCCACCCUUAGACCCUGUGAUCCAUCCUCUCUCCUAGCUGAGUAAAUCCGGGUCUCUAGGAUGCCAGAGGCAGCGCACACAAGCUGGGAAAUCCUCAGGGCUCCUACCAGCAGGACUGCCUCGCUGCCCCACCUCCCGCUCCUUGGCCUGUCCCCAGAUUCCUUCCCUGGUUGACUUGACUCAUGCUUGUUUCACUUUCACAUGGAAUUUCCCAGUUAUGAAAUUAAUAAAAAUCAAUGGUUUCCACA
rnacentral:misc_RNA from 1 species